rnacentral:snRNA from 1 species
UGACGCCUGUGUCUCUUGCUGUGCCAUCUGUCACUCCACUGAUCACCAGGGUUGAUUAGGCUGGUCUGGCUGGCUAAGCAGGGAUGCCCGCCCUCUCUCAGUGCUCCCUGUGCGUACCUCCAGAAGCUGUGCUCAGUAGAAGAGGGCAAAGUUCCCUGACAGAGAACCAUUGGCAGUCAUGGGUAUAAUGAGACAACUGUGCUCCCCGCUAGAACCUCCGAAUGAGCUCUCAAGCCAUGACUUCUUAGAAACAGUCGAGGUCUCUUUGCAAAGCAAUCCCAUAGUAAAUCAGCUACAACCUUGGACCCUGAAAACCUGGCAGUGCUAACAUGA